UAAAUAAUAAGGUGCAUAGGUGUACAGGGAAAAUACAGCAGUCCAUAAAUAUAGUUAAGAACUCAGUUGUACAGUAAAAAGAAAGGGUAUAAAAAUGUAGAUGACUAAAGCAAUAUGUGUGCAGAGGAAUAAUAAUCUACUGUGAAUUAAACUAUGCAAGUAUUGGGGACUAAAUUGCUUUUACCACUCCAUACAUUUUUCUAAAGUACCUAGAGGCCUUCAGGUAUGAGUGCUAAAAUAAAAAUAUUAUUAUUAUGGAUUUUGGGGGGCAGAUGAGUUGGAACCUAAGCAUGUCCCCUGUGCCCUAGCUCUAUUUCAUGUGGUUAAAUGCAUUGGGCCAAAUUUAUCCCUGGUCUGCUAUAUUUACUGCUGAAAGCACUUUAGAAAAGUGCGUAUUAAAGCUAUAUCUAAAGAAGCACUGAAUUCUGAACAGGCAUUCAAAGUGAGGCAAUAAAAUCAAAGAUGUUCUCUCAGGUCAGUUUAGUUUUGGGUGAGGGGAGCGAUUGCUCAAUCACAUCGGUCCAGUGAAUCCAAAACAACAGCGCGUGAAAAAUAUGGUGGCAAAAUAAUGUCUCCAUGUGGGAGAAAUGCUAAUCACUGGCGAGGCUGCUUCUCGGUUUUUACUUGUGGAUUUUAUUCUAAUUUUUUCCCUGAUUAUUAUUCUCCCCCAGUGACCGCUAAGGUAACUUUUCUCCCUGUUUUGCAGGGAAAUUUGAGGCCAACGUUUUUGCUGCGUUAUGAAAGAAAAUUCUUCAUAGCGCCCGCAUACAGCAGCCUGCAAAGUAGUCGUGGUUUUCGUGCUGACUAUGAAGGAGGUGGGACCGAGCCUUGGAAAACACCACUGGGACUGCAGUAAUUCCGAUGGGUUUGCAGUCCAAGAGGCACCCCGAGCACAUGUAUAGCGGCAAGUAUGUUUUACCACUGUUGCUGCCACAGCUGGCUUGGGUGAUACUUUGGUAAUGAGGACAGCGGUGCUGCUGGGGCACAGCUGCUAGCAGUGACAAGUGCCCAACAGCCCAGGUCUGUGAUUUCUUUAUCUGUUUUAGGUUCAUCUCCCAUUAGCUUCAGAGGAUUGGGCCCCUCAGGAAGAACCUGUGUGACUUUAAGCAGAUGCAACAAAUAUUAAGGAAAGAGCCUUGUGCCUCACGCUGGAUUUGAAGCACUGAGAGCUGCCAGCCACUUUUCCAGGUCAGGGCCUCAAGGCAUCCACAUGGAGAACUGCAGUAGCAGCACCGAUGGAGCUUGGGCACAGUGCUAGGAGACAGAUGCGAGAAAGAGAGAAGAAAAAGCAAUACCACUUCAUUUUUGCCCAUGUCCCUUGUUUAAGACAAAAGGCUACGCAGCCCAGCAGGCCAACAAAUCUACAAAGAAAGAUGCACCAGAAAAGCCUAAUGAUACAUUGGCUCCUGGCUGAUCCCAUCGCUGCCUCCCAGCCCUGACCUCCACAAUGCUCCCGCUGCCGCCGGGAAUGGACCAGGUUCUUCUCAACCAAGUCACCUGCGAACACGCAAGGAGAAAAGGCAAGAGGCUUCUGUAAUCUUUUGUUAUGAUCCUUGUCUUGCUUUUCUUAUCUUUCCCAGACCUACUCAUUUUUCUGCUUGUCUUGCCUGGGUCCUUUAAGGUCGGAUCUUGGUAGCUCUCCCAUCCUUGCAAAUGGCCCUGUAGAAGUCACUGGAAGUAUUUGACAGCGAGGGCUAAGUGGGGAAAGUAAAGGUUUGGCAUCCCUGGGACGUGACUGGAUGAGUGCCAUGUUUAUUAAACUGUAAAAGAACAUGCCUGUCCUAUGGCAAAAGCUGUAUUUGCACAGCGGUGCGAAGCCAACCCUCAGUUCUGGGGUGAAGUGCCUGCUUUUUGCAGCCUUUCAGUACUGAGUUUUGCAGUAAAAACAGAA